rnacentral:rRNA from 1 species
AAAUUGAAGAGUUUGAUCAUGGCUCAGAUUGAACGCUGGCGGCAGGCCUAACACAUGCAAGUCGAACGGUAGCACAGAGAGCUUGCUCUUGGGUGACGAGUGGCGGACGGGUGAGUAAUGUCUGGGAAACUGCCCGAUGGAGGGGGAUAACUACUGGAAACGGUAGCUAAUACCGCAUAACGUCGCAAGACCAAAGUGGGGGACCUUCGGGCCUCACACCAUCGGAUGUGCCCAGAUGGGAUUAGCUAGUAGGUGGGGUAACGGCUCACCUAGGCGACGAUCCCUAGCUGGUCUGAGAGGAUGACCAGCCACACUGGAACUGAGACACGGUCCAGACUCCUACGGGAGGCAGCAGUGGGGAAUAUUGCACAAUGGGCGCAAGCCUGAUGCAGCCAUGCCGCGUGUAUGAAGAAGGCCUUCGGGUUGUAAAGUACUUUCAGCGAGGAGGAAGGCGUUGUGGUUAAUAACCGCAGCGAUUGACGUUACUCGCAGAAGAAGCACCGGCUAACUCCGUGCCAGCAGCCGCGGUAAUACGGAGGGUGCAAGCGUUAAUCGGAAUUACUGGGCGUAAAGCGCACGCAGGCGGUUUGUUAAGUCAGAUGUGAAAUCCCCGGGCUCAACCUGGGAACUGCAUUUGAAACUGGCAAGCUUGAGUCUCGUAGAGGGGGUAGAAUUCCAGGUGUAGCGGUGAAAUGCGUAGAGAUCUGGAGGAAUACCGGUGGCGAAGGCGGCCCCCUGGACGAAGACUGACGCUCAGGUGCGAAAGCGUGGGGAGCAAACAGGAUUAGAUACCCUGGUAGUCCACGCCGUAAACGAUGUCUAUUUGGAGGUUGUGCCCUUGAGGCGUGGCUUCCGGAGCUAACGCGUUAAAUAGACCGCCUGGGGAGUACGGCCGCAAGGUUAAAACUCAAAUGAAUUGACGGGGGCCCGCACAAGCGGUGGAGCAUGUGGUUUAAUUCGAUGCAACGCGAAGAACCUUACCUACUCUUGACAUCCAGAGAACUUAGCAGAGAUGCUUUGGUGCCUUCGGGAACUCUGAGACAGGUGCUGCAUGGCUGUCGUCAGCUCGUGUUGUGAAAUGUUGGGUUAAGUCCCGCAACGAGCGCAACCCUUAUCCUUUGUUGCCAGCGGUUAGGCCGGGAACUCAAAGGAGACUGCCAGUGAUAAACUGGAGGAAGGUGGGGAUGACGUCAAGUCAUCAUGGCCCUUACGAGUAGGGCUACACACGUGCUACAAUGGCAUAUACAAAGAGAAGCGACCUCGCGAGAGCAAGCGGACCUCAUAAAGUAUGUCGUAGUCCGGAUUGGAGUCUGCAACUCGACUCCAUGAAGUCGGAAUCGCUAGUAAUCGUAGAUCAGAAUGCUACGGUGAAUACGUUCCCGGGCCUUGUACACACCGCCCGUCACACCAUGGGAGUGGGUUGCAAAAGAAGUAGGUAGCUUAACCUUCGGGAGGGCGCUUACCACUUUGUGAUUCAUGACUGGGGUGAAGUCGUAACAAGGUAACCGUAGGGGAACCUGCGGUUGGAUCACCUCCUUA